rnacentral:rRNA from 1 species
GUGAGGAAUAUUGGUCAAUGGGCGGGAGCCUGAACCAGCCAAGUCGCGUGAAGGAAGAAGGAUCUAUGGUUCGUAAACUUCUUUUGCAGGGGAAUAAAGUGCAGGACGUGUCCUGUUUUGUAUGUACCCUGAGAAUAAGGAUCGGCUAACUCCGUGCCAGCAGCCGCGGUAAUACGGAGGAUCCGAGCGUUAUCCGGAUUUAUUGGGUUUAAAGGGUGCGUAGGUGGUUUGAUAAGUCAGCGGUGAAAGUUUGAAGCUUAACUGUAAAAAUGCCGUUGAAACUGUCGGACUUGAGUGUAAAUGAGGUAGGCGGAAUGCGUGGUGUAGCGGUGAAAUGCAUAGAUAUCACGCAGAACUCCGAUUGCGAAGGCAGCUUACUAAGCUACAACUGACACUGAAGCACGAAAGCGUGGGGAUCAAACAGGAUUAGAAACCCGAGUAGUCC